rnacentral:tRNA from 1 species
GGGAAUGUGACUUAGAGGUAGAGUGCUUGCCUAGCAUGCAUGAAGCCCUGGGUUCAAUUCCUCAGUACCA